GUUAAUUGUUGGAAUUAAUCUUUAAAUUUAAAAAUAAAUUAUUUUCAAUAAAAUAGUAAAAUAAUAAAAAAAGAGAAAGAAAGAAAAAAAAUCUUUGAAAGCCACCAACUACAAUUCAAUACAUUUGUGUUGAAAAUCUCUAGUUCUCAAUGAAUCCUAAAUUUAAAACUUCAUUAUAAGUUAAGUUCUACAACAUAAACGAAAUUUUCUGAUAGCUACCAACUAAAAACUUAGAAAAUUUUAAAAUUUUUCUACGGAGAGUGAAGAUGAAAUGAAAAAGCGUUAUAUUAAUUAUAUUAUAUUGGUUCUCAAACUACUACUACACUAUUAUUUUAUUUUGAUUUGAACGGGGGAGGGAAGUUCUCAUUAAUACAGAAUUCAAUUAAUCGAAACAAGUUUCGAGCCAAUUGUACAGCGACAUGAUACAAACUCAUUAUAAUAUUACAAGUUGGACAAAACAAAACAAAACAAACGAAAUAUAAUUAAUUAAUGCCUAAUUUUAUAUAUAUGUGUCUGAUCUCAACAGAUUAAACAAGUAAUCAAAAGUAUGAAUUAGCCCAUAACAUAAAAUUAUUGAACAACUUUGAUUAUACAUUACAAAACAAAAACUAUGCCAAACAGUCAGUUGAUUAUUAAUUAAUGAACAAAAAAAUUGUGGUAUUAAAUAUUAAUUAGCCCACAAAAAAGAAAAAGGGGUUGUCGCAGCAGCACUCAUCAAUGAGACAGCAGCAACACAAAGCCGCAAGGCUGCAAAUUGAUAAUCAAACAUAUUAAAUUUUAACCCAAUUUUUAUCUAAGAAAUUUUGAACAUUAAUUAAUGAAAGUAAGAAAAAGGAAUCGAAGAGUAACUAAUAAAGUGUUAUAAUUAAGUACACAUACCAUGCCUCAAGGCAACCUCUGUUGCUUCACUGGAGGAGGGCCGUGAUAACGAUCACCUCCUACAAAUUCAAAUUCAUUCAUGUAUAUUAUUUCAAGCAAAUCAGACUGUUUUAACACGAUUUACUGUUCUUAAUUGCAAACGUCUGCAUGUUUUAAGAGGUGAAUUGAAAUAAAUAUAAUAAUAAUGUGUACAAAACGAUAAACAACAAUAUAUAGAUUAAAUUAUAUAUUUUAAAAUGUACAAACGACCGAGUAUUUUUUUAAUUUUAAUUUUAAUUUUUAUAGUUAGUACGUACCUUGAGGAUGGUAUGGAUACGCAUACUUGGGUUCAUACAUAAUUAAUUUGAUGAAGAGGAGGAGGCCGGCACCCAGCAAGAAUCGAUGGUGAGCUGUUGAAUUUCUUGAGGGAUUGGGAAAUGUUUUAAUUAGCUAAAAGCUGCAAAGUGUAAGAACGAAGAGACUUUGCUGUAUUGUUGUUGAUGAUAAUGAUGUACGGGUGACAAAUUAUUAAUUUAAUUUGUUGCUGGAUUUCUCUGGUAAAAG
rnacentral:lncRNA from 1 species